UACGUAGGGUGCAAGCGUUGUCCGGAAUUAUUGGGCGUAAAGAGCUCGUAGGCGGUUUGUUGCGUCGGCUGUGAAAUCCCGAGGCUCAACCUCGGGUCUCGCAGUCGAUACGAGCAAACUAGAGUGUUGCAGGGGAGACUGGAAUCCUGGUGUAGCGGUGAAAUGCGUAGAUAUCUGGAGGAACACCCGGUGGGCGAAGGCGACAUCCUGGACCGGUAUUGACGCGUGAGG
rnacentral:rRNA from 1 species